CGACUCUGUUGAGCCAUAUCUGAAAGGUGCUGCACCUUAUUUUGGGGCCAUUGUUGGCCGAGUGGCAAACAGGAUUAAAAAUGGAAAGUUUACUCUCAAUGGGGUCGAGUACACUUUGCCCAUUAACAAGCCUCCAAACAGUCUUCAUGGUGUGUAAUCAUAAAAUUCUUUAACCCUUUUAAUCAUGCUCUUGUUUAGUUCAAUCCUGUUGUAACUGUCAUGGGAUCAAUGCUUAUAGUUCUAAGGCAUUUUGUUAUUUCUAUUUUGAAGAGGUUAUAUGGCUGAAAUUACUUAACAGCUUGAUUCAUGAGGUCCAGUGGCAAAAUGAGUGAAUGGUAAACCUGGGACAAUGAUAUUUGUAUGUAAUUUUCUUUUUAUAAACCAGUCAAAACACUGUUUUCUUUUGAAAAACACCAUUUUUCCAGCAACAUUCUUGUAAAGUGAUGCGACUUCAUGUUCUCUAGCUGUUGGCUGAAAAUUAUAUUUGAAAGGAAUUCUCAAGAACCCUGCAACUCACAAUAAGGCUCAUAAUAUGAUGAAUCCUUGAUCUCAUUGAUAACGAGUGGGACCAAAUCCUCCAAGCUACCAACAAAAG
rnacentral:misc_RNA from 1 species